rnacentral:rRNA from 2 species
GAUGAACGCCGGCGGUGUGCCUAAUACAUGCAAGUCGAACGCGUUGGUCCAAUUGAUUGAUGGUGCUUGCACCUGAUUGAUUUUGGUCGCCAACGAGUGGCGGACGGGUGAGUAACACGUAGGUAACCUGCCCAGAAGCGGGGGACAACAUUUGGAAACAGAUGCUAAUACCGCAUAACAGCGUUGUUCGCAUGAACAACGCUUAAAAGAUGGCUUCUCGCUAUCACUUCUGGAUGGACCUGCGGUGCAUUAGCUUGUUGGUGGGGUAAUGGCCUACCAAGGCGAUGAUGCAUAGCCGAGUUGAGAGACUGAUCGGCCACAAUGGGACUGAGACACGGCCCAUACUCCUACGGGAGGCAGCAGUAGGGAAUCUUCCACAAUGGGCGCAAGCCUGAUGGAGCAACACCGCGUGAGUGAAGAAGGGUUUCGGCUCGUAAAGCUCUGUUGUUAAAGAAGAACACGUAUGAGAGUAACUGUUCAUACGUUGACGGUAUUUAACCAGAAAGUCACGGCUAACUACGUGCCAGCAGCCGCGGUAAUACGUAGGUGGCAAGCGUUAUCCGGAUUUAUUGGGCGUAAAGAGAGUGCAGGCGGUUUUCUAAGUCUGAUGUGAAAGCCUUCGGCUUAACCGGAGAAGUGCAUCGGAAACUGGAUAACUUGAGUGCAGAAGAGGGUAGUGGAACUCCAUGUGUAGCGGUGGAAUGCGUAGAUAUAUGGAAGAACACCAGUGGCGAAGGCGGCUACCUGGUCUGCAACUGACGCUGAGACUCGAAAGCAUGGGUAGCGAACAGGAUUAGAUACCCUGGUAGUCCAUGCCGUAAACGAUGAGUGCUAGGUGUUGGAGGGUUUCCGCCCUUCAGUGCCGGAGCUAACGCAUUAAGCACUCCGCCUGGGGAGUACGACCGCAAGGUUGAAACUCAAAGGAAUUGACGGGGGCCCGCACAAGCGGUGGAGCAUGUGGUUUAAUUCGAAGCUACGCGAAGAACCUUACCAGGUCUUGACAUCUUGCGCCAACCCUAGAGAUAGGGCGUUUCCUUCGGGAACGCAAUGACAGGUGGUGCAUGGUCGUCGUCAGCUCGUGUCGUGAGAUGUUGGGUUAAGUCCCGCAACGAGCGCAACCCUUGUUACUAGUUGCCAGCAUUAAGUUGGGCACUCUAGUGAGACUGCCGGUGACAAACCGGAGGAAGGUGGGGACGACGUCAGAUCAUCAUGCCCCUUAUGACCUGGGCUACACACGUGCUACAAUGGACGGUACAACGAGUCGCGAACUCGCGAGGGCAAGCAAAUCUCUUAAAACCGUUCUCAGUUCGGACUGCAGGCUGCAACUCGCCUGCACGAAGUCGGAAUCGCUAGUAAUCGCGGAUCAGCAUGCCGCGGUGAAUACGUUCCCGGGCCUUGUACACACCGCCCGUCACACCAUGAGAGUUUGUAACACCCAAAGUCGGUGGGGUAACCUUUUAGGAGCCAGCCGCCUAAGGUGGGACAGAUGAUUAGGGUG